UGGGUAACCUGCCUCAAAGAGGGGAAUAGCCUCCCGAAAGGGANAUUAUCGCAUAAUAUGUUUAAGUCGCAUGAACUUUAACAUCAAAGGAUUUUCUUUUAGUAAAUUCCACUUUGAGAUGGACCCGCGGCGCAUUAGCUAGUUGGUGAGGUAACGGCUCACCAAGGCAACGAUGCGUAGCCGACCUGAGAGGGUGAUCGGCCACAUUGGAACUGAGACACGGUCCAGACUCCGUAGGGAGG
rnacentral:rRNA from 1 species